GAUGAACGCUGGCGGCGUGCUUAACACAUGCAAGUCGAACGGAAAGGCCCAAGCUUGCUUGGGUACUCGAGUGGCGAACGGGUGAGUAACACGUGGGUGAUCUGCCCUGCACUUCGGGAUAAGCCUGGGAAACUGGGUCUAAUACCGGAUAGGACCACUUCUUGGAUGUUGUGGUGGAAAGUUUUUUCGGUGUGGGAUGAGCUCGCGGCCUAUCAGCUUGUUGGUGGGGUAAUGGCCUACCAAGGCGUCGACGGGUAGCCGGCCUGAGAGGGUGUACGGCCACAUUGGGACUGAGGUGCGGCCCAGGCUCCGACGGGGGGCAGCAGUGGGGAAGAUUGCACAAUGGGCGCAAGCCGGGUGCAGCGGCGCCGCGUGGGGGAUGACGGCCUUGGGGUUGUAGACUCCUUUCGCGAGGGACGAAGCGUUUUGUGACGGUAUCUGGAGAAGAAGCACCGGCUAACUACGUG
rnacentral:rRNA from 1 species